AGUCGAGGUGUGACUCACACAAAGUCGGACAGGGAGGCAGGGACACGAGCAGAGCUGGAACAGUACUUUCUUCCCUCAUUUCUCAGAGCUGCUGCAGACAGACGGCGUUGCCACUGAACUGUAUAUUUCAGUGUAUAAUUACUCGCUUAUUAGCUGGCUACCUCAUCAUGCCAAGAAAGUUAGUGGGAAUGUAGAGCAAAGACAUUUCUCCUCUCCCUGUCUUUCAGAGCAGAGGAAAAACAACAGAUCAUACAACCUGCUGGGAAUCUCCACCUCCUCCACUCUUUUUAGGCUGGCAGAGGAUGAAUUUUGAUUGAUUUCUCAGUUACAUCUAGUAUGCAGAAGAAAAAGAAAAAGAGCUAAUCAUGCUAGCCUGAUACUAGAGACAGGGAAUCUGAUGGCCAUGGCUAUUAUUGCUUCCAGAGUGAUGUGCUGGGCACAUGUGCCUGGUGGGUGACCUCACACUGAGCCAUGACGAUAUUGGGAGCUACCAGCUCUACCACACACCACUGCUCAGUACCUCAUAGAGGCGAAGGAAUAUAACACAGGGUGUCAACCUGACAUAAAGCAAAUUACAGGGCCACUGGAGUCAAGGUAAGGCUUGGCUUGCCUACCUUGGAGGUGGCACUUUUUAAAGCUUGAAAACAUAAUGGGUUUCUGGAGAAGUUUCUCCAUGCAGCUUCCCAGGUGGCCACGUUUUCAUGAAGGCUGAAGUGAUUCUUCUUGCCAACUCAGCCCCUGCAUUCAAACUUCCCCAGGAAAACCAGAUGAGUUUUUUGAAUAGCAGCAGACUUCCUUAUUAGCAAAGUCAAGCAGGAAAAUUAGUGAAAAUAGUAUAAUUUUUAUACAGACCAAAUCAUUCCUAGGUAACAGAGACAGAAAGAAAUACUGCUGGUUCGACCCCCUGUUCUAAUCAGAGCACAUUGUAAGGAACAACCUUCAACCUUGAUUUCUGAGAAGCCAAUAAUAAACCAUUCAUUUGUAUUUCACGCAGAGCAGUGCCAUAUUCCAUCAGGAUGCACAAACCAGUAUUCUGAAGGAACAAUACGCAUUUGGGAUUGGAUUUGCAGCUGUUCAGUAGCCUUCAGAUUUGCAGGUAAACUAUAGUAUCUGACUUGCUGGAAGGUUUCAUGGCAUGUGAUGCUGGCACUGAAGAAUAAAUGCCUCUGUUUUUCCCCCCUCUGAUUUUUCCUGGUCUCUGGCAUCAGGACUGAGAAAGACAGGAGCCAUGUCUCCACCCAGCUUCAGGAGGGACUGGGGGAACCAACAAGAUCCAAGAGAUAGGGAGAAGCCGGUGGGAAGCCAGGUCAGGACUGACUCAGGAAUUAGGAUGGGUAGGCAGAGAAAGGAUCGGGUGGGAAAUGGCCAGUAGAGGGGGUGAAAGAGGGACUCUGGGUCGUCUUGAAGUAUGGAACGAGAAGCCAGGAAUGCUGGCAAGAUGGUGUGGGGGCAAGUGAACAACCAAAACUUGGCGAAAGUCAGCAUGUAAGGUGGCACUGCGGCAGCAUCACUGGGGCAGGGGCUAAUAGUCCCAGGCUGUGCUGGAAUGUGGUUCUGGGCCAUGGGCAGGGUGGGGGCAGGUUCGGGAGGGGAGUCUGGGCAGGGUCCCCAGUUUCUGGCAGCUCUGCCCCUUCUUUCUGCCCAUUCAGCUCUUACUUUUCUCCAUCCCCAGCUUUUGGCAACCCCUCACAUGCUUUGAACCCUGCUAGAAUUCCCUUAAGGGAGCUGGAGGGGUUGGAGGAGCUGAUCAAAAGGUAAAGAAGAGGGUGAAAUAUACCUCCCUCUGCCUAAGGAGCUGCCCUGGGCAUACCUGGUCUUGGGUGUAACCACCUCAGUUGGCAGGGGGUGAGCUCAUCCCUGCUCCAAACAUCUUGUUUGGGUGCAGGAGAAGCAUCACCUGUGUGAGGUGUGUUGUGUUAAGCACUAUUCUUCCUUCACCAUGUCUGGAAAAAGUACCUCUGAGCCCCUGAAAACAGCAGACAUUUUGGUGGAAGAUAGAUAAGAAAGAAUAUUUUGCAGGAACCAAGAGAUGUCUGUCUCUGUCAAAUGAGCAUUGGCCAAUCAAAACAUUACCAAUAGAGAUUUCUCAUAUUAGCACCUUUUUUUUUUUUUCCUUGCUUGUCUUGGUAGAAUCACAUUUCAUUUUCAAACCGCAGCUCUACAUUUAUCAUCCCUGAUUUAGUAAAUUGCCUCUUGGAGAAGCAGUGUCUAACCUACCUUUAUUUAAGACUUUGCAGGAUAAUGUGUCUGUUGGACUCAGAGAGGCUCACAAAAAAAGUGGCAGAUGCAGCAAAUGUAUCGAAAUGGAGAUAAUGCAAAUGAUUUUACAUUCAAAAUAUUCUUCCUCUAGUAACUUAGCACUUUCAGAAAAUACUGUAUUGUCAGUAAGACUUAAAUCUAAAACCUUGAAGCAAGAGGAAUUUUAUUGUCUUUCUCCUUCUUUAUUUUUCUCUUAACAGGGAUCAAAAUCAACCUUUCAAUAAGCCUCUUUUUGUAGUCAAAAUAGAAGGAGGUGAAGAUACCUCUAUAAUAAAAGUUGGCUCAAGGCUUAUCAGCAGGGAUUUGAAAUGAGUCGUGCAACCCCUACAUCCUAUGAGCAGCCUUUUCCCUCUCACUGCAUCUUUCCCAGUGCCUGAGCUGCGGCCAGCCCUGAUGAGCCCAGCGUGGCUGGGUGGCAUCAUACAGGAGGGAUCCCUACAGUCUCCAAGCAAGAGUAUCAUUAGCAUUCUCUUGAGUGUUGCAGCAAGGAGGCUGAGGAGCAGCAGCUACUGGAGACACACAUUGAAGCCACCUCAUUUGCAUUCCUUAGGAAGACCUGCUGGCUUUGGCAAACCCACUUGAACUUAUAGGUUACCCAUUAGCACUCCUGAAUAGCCCCCAUUUGCUCUGAGAGACACCACUGCCCCUGACCAACACUGCCUCAACCCCAACAGAGAGUAGAAGCAGUAGGACAGUUUUGAGCUUGAGACUGGCCAAAGCACAUAUCCAGUGUAUCCCACCACACAAGAAACUCCUGGCUGUUUGGAAAAGAGAAACUGUGUCAGCAGUGGCACCCUGGGUUGCUCUUUUUUUCACAAGACUGAUCUGUUGGUUUGAAGCUGGUGCGCAGUUUCCUACCCUCAAAAGACUAUUUUAAAGCUCUACAGAGAGCAGUUGUUGAACAAGCUCUGUUAAUACAGCAGAGCAGCAGCAAAUCCAUUUCACCUUCUUAGCUAAUGGCUUCCCCUCCUGGAAAAGAGAUUCCAGAGAAAAGAAACAAACACUGCUGCCUGUGCCAGAACGCCUGACCUGAGCCUGAGCACAGCGUGCUGCUGCCCCGGCAUGUGGGAGGGGAAGGGGCACCUCUGGUGAACUGCUCUGCCCUCAAAUACAGGACUGGAGGCUGAGGGCUGAGGGCUGUGGUUGAAGAGGUGAGCUGGUGCAGAAUUAUUGCUUUCUGUGCUUCGAUAUUUCUGGGAAAAAAUAAGGCAAACUUAGCCACUGUCGUACA